UUGACAGGUUUCACUUUGUUUAAUCAGAUAUCAAUCAUAAAAACACUUCGAAUCACAAAAAUAAUUUAUUUGAAUUAAAAAAAAAAAAAAGAACAUUAGAGUGUACACCAAUUCACAGACCUUGAUCAUGGAGCUUCUGAUUGACAUGUUAUACACAAAUAGAAUGCAAUUCAUUUAGCACUGACCACUAUACAAAUAAUUAAAAAAAUUUAAUCAUUACAACAAAAGAGAUUUCAAAUGGGAUAAGGACAUUUACCCCAGUUUAGCUGAAUGUAUGUGCUCUUUAGCAUACAAAGAGGCUUGAUGACUAGGUUUAGGAUAACAUUGCAUGUUUGCUUGUGUGUUUGAAAAAUAGAACAUCUCGUCUUUAAAGGAACAAAUUAAAAUCAUACAUAAAUGCAAAGAAGAUCAAAAAGAUGCAGUAUGUCUGUCACAGUAGGGGGAAAAUAAAAAAAGAAUAAUGCUUUAUGUUAACAAAACAUGUGGUUACUUUUCAAAGUGGAAAUACAUCUGAAAAAUAGAAAGAAUCAAGAAAUUCUGAACUUGAUCCAGCUUUUUCUGUUCAUAACAAUUGAGUUUUUUACUUGAGACUUUUUACAAGCAGCACACAAACACAUUUCAAUGUGGUAUUUGUAAAAAAAAAAAAAAAAAAG